AAGAAGCACAGCACCGCCAGUUACCACGCAGACAUCCUGGGGAACUGAGGACAUUUCUUGAAGAGAUGUGAACAAAGGCCUGCUCGUCCAGAUAGUGUCCCGAGGACAAACCAAAGAAGUCAUCCCACCUAAGUCCAGCUUGGAGCCAGUGACUUUAUAGAAGGGUGACCUACAGGACCAUGGGUGACUCGGGACAGCUGUAUCAUCAAGCCACUCCACCAUGAAAGCUGCAUCCCUGGAUCUCACUGUGCAGCAUGCAGGUAACCCCUCUGCCCACCACCUACCAGAGGUAGUGGAAAAGAAAGGACAUGGGGGAAGUGGACCUGUUUAGAAGUGGUUCUUUGAAGCAGCUCUCAUCUGUGUUAUCAGGAAAUCGGCAGUUUGGUUUACAGGUCAGCAACAGCAGCUUGAUCCACUUGCAAACACUUCACAGAUACACCAGCAGUCCAGUUCGGGAGAGUCCGAAGAGCAAACAUGAAUCAGCAGUAGUGCCAUCACCUAACAGGGACAUCCAGGCCUCAGCCAGAUCAGCACAAGUCAGCAGGAGGGACCAGAACCAACAGGGACACCAGGAGUUCUUUGCUGUGCCUCUCUCAGUGAAGCAAAGAUCAUCAAAGAUGAGAGACCAAGAAGUAUUGCAGAGCUAGCUCUACAAGCAAGCCCCUCUCAGUCCUAUUUACACUCCCUCCAAAAAUCACGUGCUCUCCACAGCUCUUGCCUCAGCAUGUGAGUCUGUCUUAGCAAAACUCCACGAGUCUAUAUCAGCUGACAUCACUCUGCCAGUUGACCCAAGUCCUCAGAAGCUGCAAGAAGCCGCAGCAUACUACCAGAAGGUUUUUUUGGUGUAUUUCGAUUUCUGGAGUCCUGACAAAUGGCGCUCAACUACACAAUUUAAGGCAGACCAAUACUUGUGUGUUGUUAAUGAAGAAUCCGUCACCAUGUGUCCUUUCACGUGCUUGCUUUAGCAGAAAAUCCUUUCACGCGUGUCUGCUUCAGUGAAACAUUCCUUCACAAGUCUGCCUUAGCAAAACAUCCUUUCACCUGUGUCCACUUCAGGGAAAAACUCCUUCAUGUGUUUGUCCCAGCAAAACACCAUCCAACACAACUGACUUUCCAAAGAACCCUUCAACCUAAAAAAAAAAGAAGAAGACUCGGAAACCACCUUAGAAAUGCAUCUCACAAAAUACCUGCCAGGCCAUUAGAAAACUACAGAAAGAUUUUAAACACAUGUCUGAAAAUACCCUAAAUAUCCUAAAGACACACUUCUUUCCCCAGAAGUAAUCUAUAUAUGUAAUAUGAUUCCAAAUAAAAUUUCAACAGGGUCUUAAAAAAA
rnacentral:lncRNA from 1 species